ACUCAUGUUCCUUUUCUUCUUCUUAAAGCUAGUUAAACUAAACCCAUAUUGCUUUAGGAACGCUAUACGCUUCACCGUGUCCAGGGGCGGUGGCAGGGCCGGUGCUAGACGUGCUGUAGCACCCGUAGCAAAGAUAUUUGUUAAAGAAGGUGUUGGUUAUUAGCUCAAAUUAUGAAAGAAUCACAACUAUAGCACAUGAAACCUGUCUUAAUUAGCAUCCUUCUUCUCUAGUUUCUGGCUCGAUCCGCCGAAGACCGUGUCAGAUCAAAUCAUAAGGGCGUGUACUAAUAUUCGGAACAAAACCUAGUGCUGUCCACUUCACACUGUACAUCCAUGUCCAUGGCAGAUUAUCUGUAUGUUGCAUACCCUGUCAGAUUAAGACAUCACAGACCGUACACUACUAACGGUAGUCAAAUUUACUGUUCCGUCGAAAUUACUUGUCGAAUUAUUACAUUAUGUAGAUGUUUUUAACACAUAGAUAAAUCUGAAUUUGGGCAAUUUGAGACAAAUAAUACGUGAGUAGUUACGCUCCACGGCUACGUUGCAAAUUUACCAGCACUGAGCAAGAUGCUAUCAACGACACCUCAAACAUCUAUGCCGAUGAACAUAACCUUUAGUUCUUUCUUGUAAGUUUCUCCAAAAAAAAAAAUCUAACGUAGAAAAAAUAUCUCUGUUUUUAACUGCUACCCAAACAUGGUUACAUUGAUCCCCGUUCUUCUUGAGCGAACUGAUAGAAAAUUCAUACUCCAGUGCACAUUCUGUGGCACCGUGCCUACGAGCAUAGGGAAUGCCAUAAUUUAAGCCCUGGUCAGUUCGGUGUUCGAAGCUUCUAAUUUCUAAAUAUACAUAGUACUCAGCCGCACACUAGACUGAGGUUAAAUAUUCACAAGAAAGUGAACGUGUUAUUCCUAGACUCUUUAAGGGUGUCUUAGAGGCCGAGAUUGUAUAACCAGUUGCAAAAGCGCUUGCUUUGGAUAAUGCAUUUUUAGAACGGGAUAAUGCCGUAGUUCUGUGCAAUGUUGCCUCUUGAUAUUUCCAUCUUGAAACUCCAUGUGGUAACUCAAAUUACAGAGAUUAAAUAAUUAUUCCCUCCGUUUCUAAAUAUAAGAAGUUCUAACUUUGUCCUAAGUUUAAAAAAAUCAAGUUUGGCCAGGUUCAUAGAAAAAUCAACCAACAUAUAGAACUCGAAAUUAGUUUUAUUAAACAUUUUGCUAUUUUUAAGACAACUGAGAAAAAAAUGUUUCUACGUCGAUGUUAACAACCAUCCGAUCUAACAUUGGAGAUUCGUGCAAGUGCGAAAGACGAUUUUU
rnacentral:lncRNA from 1 species